rnacentral:rRNA from 1 species
AGGUGCGAUCAUGCCAGCACUAAUGCGAUGGAUCUGAUUAGAACUCCACAGUUAAGCUUUCUUGGGAGAUAGUCGUACUAGAUGGGUGACCUCCUGGGAAGUCCUCGUGUUACACCCG